rnacentral:rRNA from 1 species
GUUUGAUCAUGGCUCAGAUUGAACGCUGGCGGGAUGCUUUACACAUGCAAGUCGAACGGCAGCACGGACUUCGGUCUGGUGGCGAGUGGCGAACGGGUGAUAAUGUAUCGGAACGUGCCUAGUAGCGGGGGAUAACUACGCGAAGGCGUAGCUAAUACCGCAUACGCCCUUCGGGGGAAAGCGGGGACCUUCGGGCCUCGCACUAUUAGAGCGGCGGUAUAUCGGUUAGCUGGUUGGUGGGGUAACGGCUCACCAAGGCGACGAUCCGUAGCAGCUGGUUUGAAGGACGACCAGCCACACUGGGACUGAGACACGGCCCAGACUCCUACGGAGGCAGCAGUGAAAUUUUGGACAAUGGGAAACCACAGUCCAGCCAUCCCGCGUGUGCGAUGAAGGCCUUCGGGUUGUAAAGCACUUUUUGGCAGGAAAGAAGCAGCGCAGGAUAAUACCCCGUGCAACUGACGUUACCUGCCAGAAUAAGCGCAAGCUAACUACGUGCCAGCAGCCGCGGUAAUACGUAGGGUGCAAGCGUUAAUCGGAAUUACUGGGCGUAAAGCGUGCGCAGGCGGUUCGGAAAGAAAGAUGUGAAAUCCCAGGAAAACAACUUUUGGGUUUAUUUUAUUUACCGAGCUAGGAAGUGCAAUGCGGAGGAGGUAGAAUUCCGCGUGAAAGUAGAAGUGCGCCAGGAUAUGCGGAACACCGAUGGCAAAGGCGCCUCCUGCAGGGAUGGCACUGGUAGCGCAUCAUGCGCACACGGCAACGUGUGGCAGGAGCAAAUGAGGCUAGGAAUACCCUGGCAAGUCCAUUUAACGAUGUCAACUAGCUGUUGGGGCACUUCGGGCCUUGGUAGCGCAGCUAACGCGUGAAGUUGACCGCCUGGGAAAUACGGUCGCAAGAUUAAAACUCAAAGGAAUUGGCGGGGACCCGCACAAGCGGUGGAUGAUGUGGAUUAAUUCGAUGCAACGCGAAAAACCUUACCUACCCUUGACAUGUCUGGAAUCCCGAAGAGAUUUGGGAGUGCUCGCAAGGGGAACCGGAACACAGGUGCUGCAUGGCUGUCGUCAGCUCGUGUCGUGAGAUGUUGGGUUAAGUCCGCAACGAGCACCAGCCCUUGUCAUUAGUUGCUACCCGAAGGGCACUCUAAUGGGCUGCCGGUGAAUAAGCCGGAGGAAGGUGGGGAUGACGUCAAGUCACUAUGUGGCCCUUAUGGGUAGGGCUUCACACGUCAUACAAUGGUCGGGACAGAGGUCGCCAACCCCGCGAGGGAGCCAAUCCCAGAAACCCGUCAUCAGUCCGGAUCGCAGUCUGCAACUCGACCGCGUGAAGUCGGAAUCGCUGGCGUAAUCGCGGAUCAGCAUGUCGCGGUGAAUACGUUCCCGGGUCUUGUACACACCGCCCGUCACACCAUGGGAGUGGGUUUUACCAGAAGUAGUUAGCCUAACCGUAAGGAGGGCGAUUACCACGGUAGGAUUCAUGACUGGGGUGAAGUCGUAACAAGGUAG